UUCCAGACUCCUACGGGAGGCAGCAGUGGGGAAUAUUGGGCAAUGGGCGCAAGCCUGACCCAGCAACGCCGCGUGAAGGAAGAAGGCUUUCGGGUUGUAAACUUCUUUUGACAGGGAAGAGCAGAAGACGGUACCUGUCGAAUAAGCCACGGCUAACUACGUGCCAGCAGCCGCGGUAAUACGUAGGUGGCAAGCGUUGUCCGGAUUUACUGGGUGUAAAGGGCGUGUAGCCGGGCUUACAAGUCAGAUGUGAAAUCCGGGGGCUCAACCCCCGAACUGCAUUUGAAACUGUUGGUCUUGAGUAUCGGAGAGGCAGGCGGAAUUCCUAGUGUAGCGGUGAAAUGCGUAGAUAUUAGGAGGAACACCAGUGGCGAAGGCGGCUUACUGGACUGUAACUGACGUUGAGGCUCGAAAGCGUGGGGAGCAAACAGGAUUAGAUACCCGAGUA
rnacentral:rRNA from 1 species